CCUACGGGAGGCAGCAGUGGGGAAUAUUGGGCAAUGGGCGCAAGCCUGACCCAGCAACGCCGCGUGAAGGAAGAAGGCUUUCGGGUUGUAAACUUCUUUUGACAGGGAAGAGCAGAAGACGGUACCUGUCGAAUAAGCCACGGCUAACUACGUGCCAGCAGCCGCGGUAAUACGUAGGUGGCAAGCGUUGUCCGGAUUUACUGGGUGGAAAGGGCGUGUAGCCGGGCUGACAAGUCAGAUGUGAAAUCCGGGGGCUCAACCCCCGAACUGCAUUUGAAACUGUUGGUCUUGAGUAUCGGAGAGGCAGGCGGAAUGCCUAGUGUAGCGGUGAAAUGCGUAGAUAUUAGGAGGAACACCAGUGGCGAAGGCGGCCUGCUGGACGACAACUGACGGUGAGGCGCGAAAGCGUGGGGAGCAAACAGGAUUAGAUACCCUUGUAGUC
rnacentral:rRNA from 1 species